rnacentral:rRNA from 1 species
GACGAACGCUGGCGGCGUGCUUAACACAUGCAAGUCGAACGAAAAGGCCCUGCUUUUGUGGGUUGCUCGAUUGCCGAAGGGGUGAGUAAAACGUGAGUAACCUGCCCUUAACUUUGGGAUAUCUUCAGGAAACUGGGGCUCUUACCGGAUAGGAUCUCCUGCUCCAUGUUGUGGGUUGGAGAGUUUCGGCGGUUGGGGAUGGACUCGCGGCUUAUCAGCUUGUUGGUGGGGUAGUGGCUUACCAAGGCUUUGACGGAUACCCGGCCUGAGAGGGUGACCGGCCACAUUGGGACUGAGAUACGGCGCAGACUCCUACGGGAGGCAGCAGUGGGGAAUAUUGCACAAUGGGCGGAAGCCUGAUGCAGCAACGCCGCGUGCGGGAUGACGGCCUUCGGGUUGUAAACCGCUUUCGCCUGUGACGAAGCGUGAGUGACGGUAAUGGGUAAAGAAGCACCGGCUAACUACGUG